UACGGAGGGUGCAAGCGUUAUCCUGAUUCACUGGGUUUAAAGGGUGCGUAGGCGGGUAAGUAAGUCCGUGGUGAAAUCUCUGAGCUUAACUCAGAAACUGCCGUGGAUACUAUUUGCCUUGAAUAUUGUGGAGGUGAGCGGAAUAUGUCAUGUAGCGGUGAAAUGCUUAGAUAUGACAUAGAACACCAAUUGCGAAGGCAGCUCACUACACAAUCAUUGACGCUGAGGCACGAAAGCGUGGGGAUCAAACAGG
rnacentral:rRNA from 1 species